GACGAACGCUGGCGGCGUGCUUAACACAUGCAAGUCGAACGGAAAGGCCCUGCUUUUGUGGGGUGCUCGAGUGGCGAACGGGUGAGUAACACGUGAGUAACCUGCCCUUGACUUUGGGAUAACUUCAGGAAGCUGGGGCUAAUACCGGAUAGGAGCUCCUGCUGCAUGGUGGGGGUUGGAAAGUUUCGGCGGUUGGGGAUGGACUCGCGGCUUAUCAGCUUGUUGGUGGGGUAGUGGCUUACCAAGGCUUUGACGGGUAGCCGGCCUGAGAGGGUGACCGGCCACAUUGGGACUGAGAUACGGCCCAGACUCCUACGGGAGGCAGCAGUGGGGAAUAUUGCACAGUGGGCGGAAGCCUGAUGCAGCAACGCCGCGUGCGGGAUGACGGCCUUCGGGUUGUAAACCGCUUUCGCCUGUGACGAAGCGUGAGUGACGGUAAUGGGUAAAGAAGCACCGGCUAACUACGUG
rnacentral:rRNA from 1 species